rnacentral:rRNA from 1 species
AGAGUUUGAUCCUGGCUCAGAACGAACGCUGGCGGCGCGUCUUAAGCAUGCAAGUCGAGCGGCAAGGUAGCAAUACCCUAGAGCGGCGGACUGGUGAGUAACACGUGGGUGAUCUACCUUUAGGUUGGGGAUAGCCAUUAGAAAUAGUGGGUAAUACCGAAUGCGGUUAUGGGACUGAGGUUUCAUAAAGAAAGGAGCUACGGCUCCGCCUGAAGAUGAGCCCGCGGCUCAUUAGCUAGUUGGGGGUGUAACGGACCACCAAGGCGAUGAUGAGUAGCCGGCCUGAGAGGGUGAACGGCCACACUGGGACUGAGAUACGGCCCAGACUCCUACGGGAGGCAGCAGCUAAGAAUAUUCCGCAAUGGACGAAAGUCUGACGGAGCGACGCCGCGUGGAUGAGGAAGGCCGAAAGGUUGUAAAGUCCUUUUGUCGAUGAAGAAUAAGUGUGGGAGGGAAUGCCCGCAUGAUGACGUUAGUCGGCGAAUAAGCCCCGGCUAAUUACGUGCCAGCAGCCGCGGUAACACGUAAGGGGCAAGCGUUGUUCGGAAUUAUUGGGCGUAAAGCGCGUGUAGGCGGUCUGAUUAGUCUGAUGUGAAAGCCCUGGGCUCAACCCAGGAAGUGCAUUGGAUACUGUCAGACUUGAAUACGGGAGAGGGUAGUGGAAUUCCUAGUGUAGGAGUGAAAUCCGUAGAUAUUAGGAGGAACACCGGUGGCGAAGGCGGCUACCUGGACCGAUAUUGACGCUGAGACGCGAAAGCGUGGGUAGCAAACAGGAUUAGAUACCCUGGUAGUCC